UACGUAGGUGGCAAGCGUUGUCCCGGAUUUACUGGGCGUAAAGGGCUCGUAGGCGGCCAACUAAGUCAUACGUGAAAUCCCUCGGCUUAACCGGGGAACUGCGUCUGAUACUGGAUGGCUUGAGUUCGGGAGAGGGAUGCGGAAUUCCAGGUGUAGCGGUGAAAUGCGUAGAUAUCUGGAGGAACACCGGUGGCGAAGGCGGCAUCCUGGACCGGCAUUGACGCUGAGGAGCG
rnacentral:rRNA from 1 species